GGCUGAAUGGCAGAGUGGUUAUGCAGCGGCCUGCAAAGCCGUGUACGUCGGUUCGAUUCCGGCUUCAGCCUCCA
rnacentral:tRNA from 2 species